CUGUGUGUUUGCAACAUGUGUGUUUUUCCAAUUUUCCAGUCAAAAAAUAUUAUUUGAAAUAUGUUUAAUUAUAAGUAAACUUUUGUUUCAUCUCUGAUAGGAGUUGUGGUGAUGAAAUUUUCCAACACAAAAGAAAAAGACAUAGAAGCAGUACAGUAAUCAAAUACUGGCUGAAGUCUCCAAAAACUCGGUUUACCAGCAAAGAGAAAUCUAAAAAUGUUCAAACACCGGAUCAUGGAGGAAAAUCUGAAUGCUACAAAAAUUGAGAUUGAAUUGAGGUACAGUAACAUGAACCAGUAUGUAGCUCAAAAAAUUGCUACUUUAAACAGGAAGAGAUUAAAGUAUUCUGGAGCACCACAAUAAGGACCUUUCUUAAUAGAUAAAUGACAUGCAUAUGAGUUAUUUUAAUAAACAAACUUCUCACAUUA